GGUUCGAUGGCGUAGUUGGUUAUCGCAUCUGUCUAACAUUGUGGUGGCGAAAUGGAUUAACCGUUACACAGAAGGUCCCCAGUUCGAGCCUGGGUCGAAUCA